UUCACAUGUAUACACUUCACAUCCAUCCGCACUCUGCUGCCCAUCAAUUGUUUAAUGCUACACUUCUACUAACACCUUGGAUCAAAUUCAGUUUGGCAUGUUGACCAUGUAUUUGGACAUGCCCCGCAUGGACGACUAUCUGCAGCUGCAGCAGGACUUCAUCGCUUGCACAGUCCGCACCAAGCAUGGCUGCGCCACUCACCCAUGGAGCAUCGCUAAGAGGGAAAGAAGAGCAAGCAAUAGCAAGAGGCUAAGGAGGCUGCAAGACCUCGUGCCCAAUAUGGACAAGAAAAUUGGGGGGAAUCAUGGCUAGAGCAUAUGUGAACUUGGCCUCCGGUCAUUGAGUCAGGUUUCUGGUUUUGCUUGGGAGAGUAGCAUGUAUUUCCCAUUUGUUUAUUUAAAUAAUUUGUAUCUAAUUCAUGUGAACCAGAUCGUGCUUGGGAGAGUAGCAUGUGUUUGAUUUAGUUACAUACAUAGACCUUUUGAACAUUUGACUUGGCUGUUUGGAUCUGCUUUUAUGCAGGGAGACUGUAUUCCAACCAUAAAACUGAUACAACGGGCACACUAAUAUGACUGUUGUACUUUCAAAUCGACCAUCUGAUUAUUCAGGAGAAAUGUAUCAAAGGACCUCUAUGUUCCCUAUCAUGUGUAUUUAACAAGUAAAUAUUGAGCUAUUCUCGAUUUAUCUUGCUAAUGACCAUUUGCACCUUUUCAUUUAUUUUUGCUUAUCCAUUUGUUUUGUAUAAUAUAUGCAUGUUGUAGAAUAAAGAUGAGCUGAAAAUUGACACCAUUCACAGAGCUAGACAAAGCUUAUGAAUGUAGCAGGGGAAAACAUAGUUGAUUUAAAUUAAUGUUGUACUUGCUUAUAUGAACCAUCUUUUGUUUCUUGCAAUGGGGGAUUUAUUCACAAGGAUUAUCUUGUUGUGUGUA